CCACCGCGUCCCAGCGGGCGCCUGAAUACCCAAGAGCCUGAGAACCUGACCCCCUGGCCUCCUUACAGGUCCGGGGGUGGGGGUGCCCCAGCCAGCUCUGGCUGUGUCCUGCUCAGACCUGCCCCGGGGUGUGGCUGCGUUGGGUAAACAUAGCAACUUCCUGCUCCUGCCUCCCGGAGCAGUUCGAGCCCAGAACGGAUGCAGGAUCCCACCAUUCAUCCUAUACUGCUGGGAGAAGAAGUCGUCUCUCCACGCUUCUCAUAGACUUUAAACUAUUGUCUUCUUUCUCCGAGGGCCGAAGUAAGACUCUGGCUUUUCUUUUUUUUUUCUUUUUUUUUUUUUCUUUUUGGAGCUGAGGAUCGAACCCAGGGCCUUGUGCUUGCUAGGCAAGCGCUCUACCACUGAGCUAAAUCCCCAAGCCCCGACUCUGGCUUUUCUAACUACCAAAAGAUUUACAGUUUGCUCGAGCUGGAAAGGACUGCUUAGAUUUCCUGGAUUUCCCAUGAAUUUUUCUUCUAAUGAAAUUUAUACUGAACCCGAAUUCACGAUCCAACUGGCUUCUACCUUGUAGCUGGAGGUCUGCCAGGGGUUUAGCCACGUGUGCUCAAGGAAUCUAGAUGCUAUCCUUUCCAGCUCUCCACUGCUAGUUCCUGGUUUCAUUCUGCUCGCUACCUUGAUUGCAAGGAUGAAGUUCAAAACCACUACAUCGUUGAGCUAGGACUAUGGAGAAAGUGCUUACCGCUGUGCUUGGUAUAUGUUUAUGGACUAAACACGCCACAUUUCUGAACGGUGAUGGUGAAGGAUGUGAGACAAUUGAGACCAAUGAUGGUUAAAGAAAACUGAAACCAAGUGCCCCAGUGACUGGAGCCUCUUCAGAGCAGCCUCAACACCCCCUGUGUUUCUACAUUUUGUUUUAGUGUUACAGCAACAGGAAAAGAUUCAUUUGUCCAGAAAAGCAAUUGUGCUUAUAAUUGCAGGACAUUAAAGAAAGUAUCUGCAAUGGGAACUGGUACGAUGGCUCAGUGGGUUAGGACACUCGUCUCACAGCCUGGCAAUCUGAGUUGAAUCCCUGGAACCUACAUAGUAGAAGGAGAGAACUGACUCUGGAAGUUGUCUUCUGACCUCCACAUUUGCAUUUGCAUACUUCUGUGAAUGUGCUUAACACACUCACUCACACACACACACACACACACACACACACACACACACACACAGAGAGAGAGAGAGAGAGAGAGAGAGAGACUAAGUGUAAUUAAAAAAUAUUUAUGGCUAUUCAAGUGCCUUCAGAGAGUUAUUUGAACUUCAAAUCUAGCAACCUUGGACAUCACCAAAAUGAAAAACCUGUGACCCAAGAACUGGCACAUCUUGGCUCUUGAUGUCUAGUGAGCCUGUGUUCUUUCUUUCUGUGGUGCCCAUGUCUCACAUAUGCUAAUGACAGAGGCCUUGACAACAUGAGGGCCAGUGCCUUUAGGAAGCAUAAGAUGAUCACUUAGGAUUCAGUUACCUGUGAUUGAUGCUGCUUCUUCUGUUGCUGUUGGUUUGCUGUUUUGAUGGACUUGGUGACCAUGGGCACACCAUUCAGAUUCUGCUGAGAAAAAAGCCAUCAUCACUGUUAGGAAGAGGAUGUGGUCCAAGUACCUGGAAAGAUACCACUUAAUUGUCCCAGGACUACCCUAGGACUUGCUACUGUGGGACUUAGAGGUCUUGGAGGACAUUCCUGAGAGCACUCCUACAUAGGAUCAGACUCCAUUGUCACGGCUUCCAUCCAGUCAGGGGAAAAAGCUCUGAAACCUAGGGAUCAUCACUUUGUCCUUAUAGGCAAAACUAGCUUUCUGGGAGUUGAUGACAAACUCUACUACUGUUUAAAAGUACAAAACAUUAGCAAUAAUCUAUCACAAAGAAAUCCAGCUUUAGGGGAUCCAAAAACCUCCUUCUGGACUUUGCAGGCCUUUGCACUUAAGUACAUACACACAGACACAUACAUACAUACAUACAUACAUACAUACAUACAUACAUACACACACAUACAUAUAUACAUACAUACAUACACACACAGACACAUACAUAUAUACAUACAUACAUACAUACAUACAUACACACACACAUAAGUAAAAAACAAAUCUUAAACAAACCACACAGUUUAAUUGGCCAUUUAUACUUCCUGUGAAAAAGAUGUAAACCGGUAGGGAGAGGGGGUGGUGCCACAGUAUACAGGCAAACCCUCCCCUCUUAAAUAUUAAGAUUUUACGAAUGGAAUUCCCAGGGAGAGUAAUAAAGUUCCCAGCUUAGACAUGUGUCUCUUGAAAUUGAGAUGUCUGAAUUUUGGGUUCCAUAAAAACGGUUAACUUAUAUUGUCUUCUUGAGUUACCCAGGACUCAGAGCUGCCCUUGUCAGAGCCCCAGUGGCUCUUCUGUCCAGCCUGGGUGAGCACCUCUCCGCUGUCAAUCAACCGAGCUUGCUGGCCUGUAGGAAAGGCUACCAGCCAUCUUGGUGCAUGCGGUAUCUGAGGGAGUUCCAGGUGAUCUCAAAACCAGGGGUGAGGGGAACCGAGCUCAUACCUUGUUCUGCAUCAGAGAAGUGAAGUCUGCAGCCGACGUGCUGAAAACAAGAGAAACAGGGAAACAGAGUGGAUCACGCUUGACUGGCUGAAGAGGGGAAGCCACUUCAGAAGGCAGGGUGGGUACUGGUCACAAGGAAGUCUACUGAAUACUCUGGCUCCCAUCAGCAUAGAGGAAUCUGAGAAGUCUAGGUACAGGCUUGGGGACAGCUGUAGGCCCUCAGAAAGGGGAGGAGCUUUGGAAACAGAGCAGAGGUUUCAUCAGAACCUAGGCUGUUGAGGCUCUGAAAAUGACAUCACUGUGCCUCUCUGAAGGGGCCAGAAAACUGGGGCAUCUACUUGAGAUACCAAGGAAGAUGGAGGGCAGCAAGAACAGGGUGACCAUGGAAGACAGCAGGAAGACGAGGGUGAAAACAUUUCCUGGCAAAUUACAACGAACCAUUGAGAAAUACAACUUUUAAAUGUGUAGUAUUCACUAUGGAAUACCCUUAAAGGUCAUGUAUAUAUGCAUGUAUGUAUGUAUGUAUGUAUGUAUGUAUGUAUGUAUGCAUGCAUACUCUGGAAAGAAGUCAAUUGUUGAUGGACCCCACAGCACAUGAAUGCUCAAGACUGCAUUUGUUCUUUCCUACUUUCGCCUUUCUAGAGCAUCAAACAGAACAACUGUCCGCUACUAUUCUAACCACAUCAGCACAAAUGGAAUUGUACUUGACAGUCAUAGGGCGGCUCCUACAUCUACUGGGAUUUAACGCUGGUCUUUUUAUUCCUCCCUAUUCCCAAGUGUUUUGGAAUUAGGGGAGACCCGCUCAAGAUCUUGAGAGGUAGGUAGAUCGAAUGGAUGGAGACAAGAUGGCCAUCUUGGCACACACAUCGAAAGGAGAUGCAUUUGGUCUUAUCUUUCCUGUCCUCUCCAAUGGGCCCAAGAGGCUCUGCCUGGGAAGAGGAUGGAUGGUCAUACUCACUCUUCGUUGACAAAGAUGAGUUCUACAGAAGUUUGUCUGUUGCUUACGUCCACACCUAAAGUGGUAAAGAAACACAGGGAGUGAAAACUAAGGCUGGAGUGGACCCUGUAUGUGGAAGACCAGAGGCUCAGGGCAGGGUCAAAGGUGUGAUGGAUGACCUUCUCCCCUUCUCUCUGAUCCAAAGGCAUAGUGGGGCUGUAGAUGCAGACAGACCCCAGAGUUUUGUAAUAAUGCUUGGGACAAAGAGAAGGGGCGGAGGGUACCUGUAAGCAAAGUAGGAAGGAAGAAUAGGAAUGGGUUAAGGGUAGCUUGGGUUAUGCAGCUGGCAUGGCUAAGAGGCUAGAAUAAAGAGGAGGGGAUGGGCACCAGGUUGGGCAGUGUCCCAAGUGGAGACUGGCAGGGAAUGCAGGGGUGGGGAGUGGGGAGGGGGCAGAGCAAAGGGAAG